UGGAUUAGUGGCGAACGGGUGAGUAACACGUGAGUAACCUGCCCCUUUCUUCGGGAUAAGCUUGGGAAACUGGGUCUAAUACCGGAUAUUCAGCGGCUGCCGCAUGGUGGUUGUUGGAAAGAUUUUUUGGGAGGGGAUGGGCUCGCGGCCUAUCAGCUUGUUGGUGGGGUGAUGGCCUACCAAGGCGUCGACGGGUAGCCGGCCUGAGAGGGUGACCGGCCACACUGGGACUGAGAUACGGCCCAGACUCC
rnacentral:rRNA from 1 species